UUAACUUAUUUGUUAUAUUGCUCAGACAACACAAAAAUCAAGAGUUUAGGGUCCUCUGGCAGGCACGGACCAGCCUAAGCCAGUGGUCAUAAGACGGGCCUGCCAAAGCAACAAAGGUAAUGUAAACAAAGGGUGGGAGAUCUACCCCGGAGGGCAAUUUCUCUGUAAUGAUCCUUCCGCAGGUUCACCUACGGAAA
rnacentral:misc_RNA from 1 species